UAUGGAAGUGUAAGCCUAUAAAAUGGUAUUCCUACUAAGUAAAAGACACCAACCUACUUAGCCACUGUGUUUCUUAUAGUCUAAAUGACGUAUAAAUUGUUGAAUUUACACAAUUUCAAGUAUGGCAUAGCCACACAGAAUUAGUAUCAUUCACAUUUACACUUCCAUUUGCAGUUCCAUUUCAAGUGAAAAAUCUGGCUAAUUUAGUUUUUGGUUGCCUAUUUGGUCGAAUCAAGUCUCGAGUAUUAAUUGUAGUCAGGGGCGAAUUCAGAAUAAUAGUUGUGAAGCAACUCGGCUACUAUUAUAUAACGAAAUCAAGUUCCCACAAAGCAUGAACCCAACAAGUUUGCUCUACUCCUAAAAACUUCCUAUUCCAGGUACCUAUUAUAGCCGGCCAAAAUGUGGCAAUGGUGCUGUCAAUAAAAAAUAUAAAAAAAUUAGAUUAUUUAGAAAUAAUCAAUAUUAGGAAUUAUUCAUAGCUGAUGGAUAAUAAAUAAAAUUAUUCUGAAUAAUUUUUUCUAAAAGUCCAAUUCAUCUUAAAUUAUAUGAAACCGUUUCAUUUAAUUAUAAGUGAAUUUAAUAAUAAGUGAAAAGAACUGAUGUCAUGUACGUAUGAUUGAGAGUGCUCGGUAAGAAUGAAUCCAAUUCCUCUUUAGAAAACAAAUACUUUUCGGCUGAAAUACAACUCAAUUUUUAAUUGUCCAUAUUAAUAGAGUUUUUUUUUUUUUUACCAAUAUGUUGUUUAUUAAUUAUAAAAUUCUCAAACUAUUGUUAUAUAAGUUUAAAUUCCAAAAUUUAAUGUCCACUUAAGAUAUAUUGUUUUUCACCAAAACAACUUAUUAUUUUCACUAGGGAUAUUCAUUAGAGAGUACCCGGUUAGUCGGGUACCUAUUUUAAAUGGCCUGUAUUCGGCCCAAUUUAUCCGUGAACCCGACUUUCGAGUAUCCGAAUAAAUCGGAUCGGCACACCGAAUACCUGAUUUUAUUUAUGAUAUUUUUGGGCAGAAUUUACUGGGCAUUUCAGGCACAAUAUAUUCCAAAAGUAAGAAACAGUAGUAGAAUGCAAGUAAAUGAUGAUUGCUAUAAUAUACGAUUACAACAUAUUUCAUAUUCCUAAAUUUAACAAGCUACCAAAGAACGAAACAUUUUUUAAAAAAUACAUAACACAAAGCAUUACUGACAGGAUUAAGCUAUUACAGUAAAAGACUUGAGGUUAAUCAAAACCCAUUAUUAAUAUAUCUUGUUGCUUACGGUUGAGUUUUAUCAAGUUACAAAUGGCAUGUUCUUACCGAAUAUGCCAGUAGGGUCCAUUUGAUACCGUAAAAUAAAAAUUUCCCCCUAAAACUGGGAACCCGGUGUCCUUACCCGAUUUAUCCGGUACCCAAACCCGGAUAAAUCGGGUCGGGGCACGGACUAUUAAGACAGGUACCCGACUAAUCAGGAAUCUAAAUUUUCAAGUAUUUGAAAUGUCGAAUACCCGCUAAUAAACACCCCUAGUAAUAAUGAUAAGCUGUUUUGGUAGAAAACAACAUAUCUUAGAUAAACAUUAAUUUGAGAAUUUAAACUUAUAUAACAUUAUUUUGGGAAUUUUGUAAUUAAUCAACAAUAUUUUGGUAAGAAACUCAUACUAAUAAGUGUUCUGGCCCUGCGUAUUGCACUGCAGUCUUAAAGUUAUUAACAAAUCUGCAAAAUCAACUCAGAAAGAGUAGAAUUGGAAGGUUUCUCUUUUAAGUUUUAUCUUUCCUUUUCCGGAAGGAGGGUGAGGUCCUGACUCGUGAGGAGUUAGAUCAAAAGGAUAUAUCAAAAAUAUAUUAAAAUAAUUUAAGAGACUUUAUUUAUUUUUACGAUGUCUUUUAAAAUAAGGCUUUUGUAUUAUAUUAAAUGAUACAAUUUUUUCACUUCGAGAAAAAUAAUUUAAGAUAAAAUAUAUUGUAAUAUCAUAUUACUUUAAAUAUAAAAAAUUUUACAAAUAAAUUACUUAAAAAAUAUUGCUCAGAAUCGAUCCUGUAUAACACUAUUUAAUAUUUAAGGCCCUUUAUUUCUAGGAGUCCUAGGCAGUCGGCCAACUCGGGUAGCCAAAGAACCGACCUUAAUUAAAAUAAUCAUAAUUAAGGAUAAAGAGACGAUUUUAAAAAGAAAUAUACUCCCAAAAUGAAUGCCAUAUUGUGAGACAAUGUACAUUGAUAUACUUUUAGUUUGUAAUUUUCAAAUUUUAUAUCAAAUGCAUAAAAACGAAUCAUUGAGAAUCAUAAGAUGAAUUGACAGUUAAUAUUUUUCCUUUCACAGGCUUGAAAAUUCAACUCUUACUAUUUACCAUAUAAAUUUCUCUUUCACCCUCUUGUUUGUAAGGAAUUUUUCUUACGAACCAAUAAAUGAAAAUCACCCUAUUUUUUAUUUUCUUAUUGUACUUUAUUUUAUUUUAGAUAAUUAACUCAAAACCCGACUAGUAAUACGUACAACUAAUUUUGUUGCUUACUCGUUCACCUAAUUUUGUUGCUUACUCGUUCACCUAAAUGAGUGGGACAGUCAGGGUCGACCCUAGUAUCUUGGGGGCUCGGGCAAAAGAUUAUUUAUAGGCUCCUAAACUGUUAUAUAUAGAAAAGUUCGAACCUUAGCAUUAAUUGAAAAUUAAAAUUUUUUGGAGUCUUAGACGUAGGCAUGACUUACACUUGCUUAGAACCGGUCCUGUAGAUAGUGGUCUAAAUAACUAGGUGUACGUAAAUGACAAUAGCAUUCAUAGAGGAAGGUGUAUAUAACACGUGAGUGCUCCUAGAGACCCAUAGUACUUGCAUGAAAAACUUUGUUUAUCUAUUGAAUAAACUACUUAAUUUAAGGUAAUAUCGAAGAUAUAAAAAUUAAACAUAUUAAUUCUUCACCAAUUAUCUAUCCAAAGCAUAAUUAAUUAUUUAUUAUCAAUAAAUCAUUAAUUGUUGCCUUACACGGAUAAGUUACACAGUGGAUAGAUGUAGCUAAAUUCUGUUGCAAGGUGGUGCUUCAUUUAAAUGUCAAUUAUACUUAGAGGCUAUUCCUUUUUCAUAAGGAUAUAUGAAUAUAUCCUCAAAAAAUUCAUUUGGGAACAUUAAGGUGAAAAUCAUAGCAUAGUAUGCAAUUUGGACACUAGCUCAAACAAUAAUAAGAUUACAAGGAGCAUGCUCUAAAGGAGAUAAAAGAAUGCAUGGAAAUACACCCGUUUAGAAUCAGCCUUGCAAAUUGCAAGCCGUAUACGCAAUAACAUUUACGUACUUUUACAAUUAUGGCUUUCUUUGAAUGUGCACAUAUUUUUUGUUUAAUCAUGUUGUGUUACUCUAAAAAAUGUGCACAUAUCUUUUUAAUUACCUAUGGGGUAUUUGCUAUAUUAACAAAAUUAUUUUGAACAUUAUUUAUAAGGCUCUGGGCAGAGUAUUAAAUAUUGGUUUUAUAAAGUGAUAAUAAAAACACACAAUCUAUAAUUUUAAUAAUUAGCUUAAAUAUUGAUGAAAAUAAUUGAAAGAAUAAUGUACUUUUCAUAAUAUUUCAAAAAGAUUUAAUGAAACAAUUGAUAUAAAAAAGUAAAUAAUUAUGUAUAGUUGAAACUUCUUAAACUCUAAAUAAAAGUUAGGGAUGACAACGAGGCGGAUUUGGACCAAGUCUAAUUGGACCUUGAUUCAUAUCUGUUUAAAAGGAUGAUCUAGAUUCGGAUCCGGAUCCGGAUCCGUGGGCUCAACUUUUUAGGACCCAAAUCCGGAUCCAACGAAUCCCGUAGCGGGUUCGGGUCCAAAACAAAUCCAAGCUUAUAUUUGCGUAAUUAGUUAAAUUUUGCUUCGCAUUGCGAUAUCUAUGGAGUUUUAAUCUUUAAUAAUGAAAAUAAUAGAUUAAAUUCAAGUUGAGUGUACGUUUGAUGUGUUUUCUAGAAGUAUUAUUAGUGUAAUUUCAUUGUCUUUAUUCCCAACUGGAUUGUCAUUU